rnacentral:tRNA from 2 species
AGCCCUGAGGUGUUGUACAUGUAAGAUUGCAAAUCUUAAGUAGCAGAUUAACGUCGGCCGGGGCUU